UAAAAAUGACAGUUGUGCGUUGUUUCCGUUUUGAAUGGGUGCAUUUAUUUUUGGAUUCCGGGAGGCUUGUCCUUAAAUGCGUUAUCGUGUCUGGUUACGAAAUAAGAGUGGGUGGAGGAGGUGAAUUAUAAGAGCAAGCUGAAACUGAGCAAAUGGCUGCUGGCGAAAAAAAAAAUGCAUCACCGUAUAACUGAAUUAUGAGAGUGCCAACAUGAAAAAUGCAUCACAUUUUCAGAAGAGAUGCCAGCCGACGGACAGCAGAACAGCUUGUACGAUUCCAGUGAGGAUUCACAAAGGCAAACUACAACAUUUCAUUGCUACAUAUGGAUACAUGUGUAGAGGAGCAUGAUACAGAAGAUAUUCGUUAUCAUGAUGCAACUUUGACGAACAAUAUGUGAUAGCAACUCCAGUUAUCCUUGCGAAAAGGAUACAUUUGUC